GUUUCUCUAUAUUUAACAUGCAAAAAGACAUUUUCUUAGACGCAUCAAUGGAUUCAGAGGGAAGAAAAGUGCCAAGAAUGAAGCUAGGAUCUAACAUGCCACCAGUGGGAUCACAGUUGGUAUGUUGUUGUUGUUGAAAGGAUCUAACAUGCAGUAUAAUUUGGAAAAGAGGGAGCAAUUUUUCGAUUGAAUUCUUGUGUUUCCUAAUUUGUGGAAUUUCAGCUGAGGGUAUCAAUCUGCAAGUAAUCAAG
rnacentral:lncRNA from 1 species